rnacentral:misc_RNA from 1 species
ACUCUUCAACCCUUCGGUUCCUUGUUGAACUGCGAGGUGUUUGGAUUCUGAAUGUUGCUGGCCUGAGGUCUCCGGAUUUCAAAGGCGAAGCUCGUUCGUAAUACAUUAGCAUCUCGAUUUCGAGUAUUCGGAUUGACUCGGCGUAAUAGACUUUAUUCGCUGAGGACACUUGGUUUUCAAGUGGCCGAAUUUCGAGGUGGAAGCUUCGAACUCUACCAAAGUCAAAUCUAUGAU